rnacentral:rRNA from 1 species
UACAGAGGUCUCAAGCGUUGUUCGGAUUCAUUGGGCGUAAAGGGUGUGUAGGUGGCGCCGUAAGUCGGGUGUGAAAUUUCGGAGCUUAACUCCGAAACUGCAUUCGAUACUGCGGUGCUUGAGGACUGGAGAGGAGACUGGAAUUCAUGGUGUAGCAGUGAAAUGCGUAGAGAUCAUGAGGAAGACCAGUGGCGAAGGCGGGUCUCUGGACCGAUACUGACGCUGAGGAGCGAAAGCGUGGGGAGCGAACAGG